AACGCGAAGAACCUUACCAGCCCUUGACAUGUCCAGGACCGGUCGCAGAGACGCGGCCUUCUCUUCGGAGCUUGGAACACAGGUGCUGCAUGGCUGUCGUCAGCUCGUGUCGUGAGAUGUUGGGUUAAGUCCCGCAACGAGCGCAACCCUCGUCUCUAGUUGCCAUCAUUUAGUUGGGCACUCUAGAGAGACUGCCGGUGAUAAGCCGCGAGGAAGGUGGGGAUGACGUCAAGUCCUCAUGGCCCUUACGGGCUGGGCUACACACGUGCUACAAUGGCGGUGACAAUGGGCAGCGAACCAGCAAUGGGGAGCUAAUCUCAAAAAGCCGUCUCAGUUCGGAUUGCACUCUGCAACUCGAGUGCAUGAAGUUGGAAUCGCUAGUAAUCGUGGAUCAGCAUGCCACGGUGAAUACGUUCCCGGGUCUUGUACACACCG
rnacentral:rRNA from 1 species